rnacentral:rRNA from 1 species
ACGACUCUCGGCAACGGAUAUCUCGGCUCUCGCAUCGAUGAAGAACGUAGCGAAAUGCGAUACUUGGUGUGAAUUGCAGAAUCCCGUGAACCAUCGAGUCUUUGAACGCAAGUUGCGCCCGAGGCCCACUCGGCCGAGGGCACGUCCGCCUGGGUGUCACGC